rnacentral:lncRNA from 1 species
CUAGCCUUUAUUUGGAUGGGACUGCAAUUAAGGAGCUGCCUACUUCUAUUUUAAAUCUCACCAGUCUUGUUACUUUGAAGUUGAAUGAUUGCAGAGAACUUGAGAGUCUUCCAAGCAGCAUUUCUCACAUGAAAUCUCUUAAAUACCUUUAUGUUUCUGGAUGCUCAAAGCUUGAGAAGUUUCCAGAAAUUUCAGAGGUUAUGAAGGAGCUAUCUAUUCUUUGUUUGGGUGGCAAUGCAAUUAAGGAGCUGCCUGCUUCUAUUUUAAAUCUCACCAGUCGUUAUACUUUGAAGCUGAAUGAAUGCAGAGAACUUGAGAGUCUUCCAAGCAGCAUUUCUCACAUGAAAUCUCUUAUAUACCUUGAUGUUUCUGGAUGCUCAAAGCUUGAGAAGUUUCCAGAAAUUUUGGAGGUUAUGAACGAGCUAUCUACGCUUUGUUUGGGUGGCAAUGCAAUUAAGGAGCUGCCUGCUUCUAUUUUAAAUCUCACCAGUCUUGUUACUUUGAAGUUGAAUGAUUGCAGAGAACUUGAGAGUCUUCCAAGCAGCAUUUCUCACAUGAAAUCUCUUAAAUACCUUUAUGUUUCUGGAUGCUCAAAGCUUGAGAAGUUUCCAGAAAUUUCAGAAGUUAUGAAGAAGCUAUCUGAGCUUUGUUUGGAUGACACUGCAAUUAAGGAGCUGCCUGCUUCUAUUUUAAAUCUCACCAGUCUUGUUAUUUUGAUGUUGAAUGAUUGCAGAGAACUUGAGAGUCUUCCAAGCAGCAUUUUUCACAUGAAAUCUAUUAAAUACCUUUAUGUUUCUGGAUGCUCAAAGCUUGAGAAGUUUCCAGAAAUUUCAGAGGUUAUGAAGGAGCUAUCUAUUCUUUGUUUGGGUGGCAAUGCAAUUAGGGAGCUGUCUGCUUCUAUUUUAAAUCUCACCAGUCGUGAUACUUUGAAUCUGAAUGAUUGCAGAGAAUUGAGAGUCUUCCAAGCAGCAUUUCUCACAUGAAAUCUCUUAUAUACCUUGAUGUUGCUGGAUGCUCAAAGCUUGAGAAGUUUCCAGAAAUUUUAGAGG